rnacentral:rRNA from 1 species
CUACAAAGGAAUUGACGGGACCGCACAAGCGGUGGAUGAUGUGGUUUAAUUCGAUGCAACGCGAAAACCUUACCACCUUUGACAUGUACGGAAUCCUUUAGAGAUAGAGGAGUGCUCGAAAGAGAACCGUAACACAGGUGCUGCAUGGCUGUCGUCAGCUCGUGUCGUGAGAUGUUGGGUUAAGUCCCGCAACGAGCGCAACCCUUGUCAUUAGUUGCUACAUUCAGUUGGGCACUCUAAUGAGACUGCCGGUGACAAACCGGAGGAAGGUGGGGAUGACGUCAAGUCCUCAUGGCCCUUAUAGGUGGGGCUACACACGUCAUACAAUGGAUGGUACAAAGGGUCGCCAACCCGCGAGGGGGAGCCAAUCCCAUAAAGCCAUUCGUAGUCCGGAUCGCAGUCUGCAACUCGACUGCGUGAAGUCGGAAUCGCUAGUAAUCGUGGAUCAGAAUGUCACGGUGAAUACGUUCCCGGGUCUU